AACCUCCGCAAUACACGAAAGUGUGACGGGGUUACCCAAAGUGUUCUAUUUAGAACUGUGGUAGGUGAGUAAUGUCCCCUACUAGAAAGGAGAGGGCAAGGCUGGUGCUAGCCGCCGCGGUAAAACCAGCUCUUCAAGUGGUCGGGAUAAUUAUUGGGCUUAAAGUGUCCGUAGCCGGUUUAGUAAGUUCCUGGUAAAAUCGGGUAGCUUAACUAUCUAUAUGCUAGGAAUACUGCUAUACUAGAGGGCGGGAGAGGUCUGAGGUACUACAGGGGUAGGGGUGAAAUCUUAUAAUCCUUGUAGGACCACCAGUGGCGAAGGCGUCAGACUGGAACGCGCCUGACGGUGAGGGACGAAAGCCAGGGGAGCGAACCGGAUUAGAUACCCGGGUAGUCCUGGCCGUAAACGAUGCAUACUAGGUGAUGGCACGGCCAUGAGCCGUGUCAGUGCCGUAGGGAAACCGUUAAGUGUGCCGCCUGGAAGUACGUCGCAAGC
rnacentral:rRNA from 1 species